GACGAACGCUGGCGGCGUGCCUAAUACAUGCAAGUAGAACGAGUUGCGAACGGGUGAGUAACGCGUGGUAACCUGCCUCAUAGCAGGGGAUAACUAUUGGAAACGAUAGCUAAUACCGCAUACUGUGAGAUGGACCUGCGUUGUAUUAGCUAGUUGGUGAGGUAACGGCUCACCUAGGCGACGAUCCCUAGCUGGUCUGAGAGGAUGACCAGCCACACUGGAACUGAGACACGGUCCAGACGCCUACGGGAGGCAGCAGUGGGGAAUAGUGCACAAUGGGCGAAAGCCUGAUGCAGCCAUGCCGCGUGUAUGAAGAAGGCCUUCGGGUUGUAAAGUACUUUCAGCGAGGAGGCGUUACUCGCAGAAGAAGCACCGGCUAACUCCGUGCCAGCAGCCGCGGUAAUAC
rnacentral:rRNA from 1 species